rnacentral:rRNA from 1 species
UACGGAGGGGGCUAGCGUUGUUCUGAAUUACUGGGCGUAAAGCGCGCGUAGGCGGACCUGCAAGUCGGGGGUGAAAGCCCGAGGCUCAACCUCGGAACUGCCUCCGAUACUGCGGGUCUCGAGUCCGGGAGAGGUGAGUGGAAUUCCUGGUGUAGCGGUGAAAUGCGCAGAUAUCAGGAAGAACACCCGUGGCUAAGGCGGCUCUCUAGUACGGUACUGACGCUGAGACGCGAAAGCGUGGGGAGCGAACAGG